GAUGAAGAACGCAGCGAAAUGCGAUAAGUAAUGUGAAUUGCAGAAUUCAGUGAAUCAUCGAAUCUUUGAACGCACAUUGCGCCCGCCAGUAUUCUGGCGGGCAUGCCUGUUCGAGCGUCAUUUCAACCCUCAAGCCCUGCUUGGUGUUGGGGAUCGGCGUUGCCUCCUCCGUCGUUCGCGGCGGGGUGAGGUCGCCGCCCCCGAAAUGAAUUGGCGGUCUCGUCGCAGCUUUCCUUUGCGUAGUAACAUACCACCUCGCAUCCAGGAGCGCGGCGCGGCCACUGCCGUAAAACGCCCAACUUUUUCAAGAGUUGACCUCGAAUCAGGUAGGAAUACCCGCUGAACUUAAGCAUAUCAAUAAGCGGAGGA
rnacentral:misc_RNA from 1 species